rnacentral:rRNA from 1 species
AGCGAACGCUGGCGGCAGGCCUAACACAUGCAAGUCGAACGAAGUCUUCGGACUUAGUGGCGGACGGGAGAGUAACACGUGGGAACGUGCCCUUAGGUUCGGAAUAACUCAGGGAAACUUGUGCUAAUACCGAAUGUGCCCUUCGGGGGAAAGAUUUAUCGCCUUUAGAGCGGCCUGCGUCUGAUUAGCUAGUUGGUGAGGUAAAGGCUCACCAAGGCUACGAUCAGUAGCUGGUCUGAGAGGAUGACCAGCCACAUUGGGACUGAGACACGGCCCAAACUCCUACGGGAGGCAGCAGUGGGGAAUCUUGCGCAAUGGGCGAAAGCCUGACGCAGCCAUGCCGCGUGGAUGAUGAAGGUCUUAGGAUUGUAAAAUCCUUUCACCGGUGAAGAUAAUGACUGUAGCCGGAGAAGAAGCCCCGGCUAACUUCGUGCCAGCCGCCGCCGUAAAAC